UGACCUCGGAUCAGGUAGGGAUACCCGCUGAACUUAAGCAUAUCAAUAAGCGGAGGAAAAGAAACCAACAGGGAUUACCUCAGUAACGGCGAGUGAAGCGGUAAGAGCUCAAAUUUGAAAGCUGGCUCCUUCGGGGUCCGCAUUGUAAUUUGCAGAGGAUGCUUCGGGAGCGGUCCCCAUCUAAGUGCCCUGGAACGGGACGUCAUAGAGGGUGAGAAUCCCGUAUGGGAUGGGGUGUCCGCGCCCGUGUGAAGCUCCUUCGACGAGUCGAGUUGUUUGGGAAUGCAGCUCUAAAUGGGUGGUAAAUUUCAUCUAAAGCUAAAUAUUGGCCGGAGACCGAUAGCGCACAAGUAGAGUGAUCGAAAGAUGAAAAGCACUUUGAAAAGAGAGUUAAAAAGCACGUGAAAUUGUUGAAAGGGAAGCGCUUGCGACCAGACUCGCUCGCGGGGUUCAGCCGGCAUUCGUGCCGGUGUACUUCCCCGCGAGCGGGCCAACGUCGGUUUGGGCGGUCAGUCAAAGGCCCCUGGAAGGUAACGCCCCCUCGGGGGCGUCUUAUAGCCAGGGGUGCAAUGUGGCCUGCCUGGACCGAGGAACGCGCUUCGGCUCGGACGUUGGCAUAAUGGUCGUAAGCGACC
rnacentral:rRNA from 1 species